UGUAAUGUGUAGAUAUUAGAAUUGAGGACUCUGCUGAACAUUGAGAAAAAAUACCGUAUUGGGAGAAGAUGGCAAGAGUCUGAUUCAAACUUCCAGUCUACCCUUAAAGAUGUGGACCGUGAGCUCAGAGUCCAACUGCAAGGCUAGAACUGAAUCAAGGGAGAGAGAGCAGUCCUCCUCCACCUGAGAAGAAUAUAUCCAGCUUUGCUUCAGAUGGGCAGGACAUUGCCAUUAGACUCUCCAAGCAGGUAGCGACAAUUGAUUUUCAGGAAUCAUGUGAUCCCUCUUGGCAUGUCUACUUCUGCUUUGAUGACACUAUUGAAGAAGAUGAUGUUUCGCGGAGUCUAAAAAGGCGAGGGAUUGAUGCCUUACAUAUGAAGACUCAUGCAAAAGCUGCUCUCAUUCAACGCAUCCAACAGCUGGAAAGAAAACUACAUCAAGCCAUUAUGAUGUUUCACCCACAUGUAUCAGACUUUGUUCCUGCAGACAACCCCCACAUGUGUCAGGCCCUCCCCAUGCCAAGCAUACAGACACUGUUAUACAAUGAUAAGAGUGAUAAUGAUGACAAUGUGGAUAAAUAUGAUAACUAGCACUACAGAUUUUUUAUUUUAUUUCUAGUCUGAUAUUGUAUUCUGUAAAAAGAAUGAUGUAAAUGUAUAGUAUGUUGCAGCAUAUCAUAGAAACCUUUAUGGUGGUGUAAUAUAAUGUUCGCCUUACUUGUGCAAACAUGAUGUUUUACUAGGUCUGAUUUAUUUUAAAACGUAGGUACUGUUUUUAAGCACACAUAAUCACACUAGUCUGUGUGAGGACAAAAUUGUGUGUUUACCAUUGUGAUGUUACUUAUUUACUGUAAUGUACAAAUGUGGUCAAUGUGUGUAAGGUGUUUUGUUUUUGUGUGCUAAGUUGAAAUGACAAAGUA